rnacentral:rRNA from 1 species
ACGGAGGAUCCGAGCGUUAUCCGGAUUUAUUGGGUUUAAAGGGUGCGCAGGCGGACUGGUAAGUCAGGGGUGAAAAUCUACGGCUCAACUGUAGACGUGCCUUUGAUACUGCCGGACUAGAGUUAAGAUGGAGUGGGCGGAAUGUGUUGUGUAGCGGUGAAAUGCUUAGAUAUAACACAGAACACCGAUCGCGAAGGCAGCUCACUAAACUUUGACUGACGCUCAUGCACGAAAGCGUGGGGAUCAAACAG